AAUGGGUAGAAAACAUUCUCUCUUUCGAAGUAAUAUCGCCGUGGAAAAAUAUGCUAAUGCGUAUUGAGAAAUAUCAAAUAUUUUAUCAGAUCUUGCAAGUGAAGAAGGAGACAAGAGCGAAGAGGAACAUGCCACGGCGCUAGAAUGACACUGAAUAAAGAUUAUAAGAAAAAAAUCAAAGGAAGACACAUCCUUGUAUCUAUGCACGGCCUCGCCAGCAUGUCUACGGAGGCACUUCAUUCUCCCAAUUUCGGCGAACUCCGGUUCCCAUGAGAGAACCGCGAGCCCUCCGUCGCAGCAGCAUCCAACGCUUCACCUCGCACUCGAGGCCUUCGCGACCUUCGGCGAGGGUUGGCCAUCCGGAGGUCGCGGACACCGGGGCGGGAGAGGAGGGAACGGAGGGAAGCGGAGGAAAGAGAGAGAAAAGACACGAGAGCAGGGAGACGUCAUCAGGGCGAGCUCGAGUCCGAGUAACUGGUGUUGCUGCCCCGCCGUCGAGAAUUGUGCCGGUGUCUGUGCGAC